GUGCUUCUCGUCGGUUUGUGCUCUGCUAAUUUUGAUCUCUUGUUUUUUUUUUUAACAAGUUACAGUGUGAAAAGAAUUGACUGUGUUUGUUAAGUUUUCAAGGUAUGCAACGGCUAAGUAAAUAUCAUUAAAAAAAAAAAGAAGGAAAAGAGAAAUUAUUCUGACAAUGUUAUAGGUACAAUUCUGGGCUCCUUCAUCCAUGAUUCAACUAAAUUUGGGUCCUUGGUUUUGAGUCUGUUGUAGUUAUCAUGAAACCCACUUCAGGAUAUUUUGACACAAAAGGUGAUAAUGGGAGUUGGAAAAAUAGAAAAAGUAUCACGGGGAAGUGAUGAAUUGAAGAGGUGUGUGUAGCCCAAGUGAUUCACACGAUUGUGACAAGAGAUUAUUAAGUUUGCUUUAAAUGAUUCAUUCAUAUCGCUUUUUCAAUAAUAAAAUUUCCAGCUUUUGUGGGUCUUUCUCGCUCAGGUACUCUCGCUCAUAUGUACAAAGCUUAAAGACUGGCACGAGAUAAUGUGCCCAUAAGGCUUCUUCCAUCCAUCCCAAACUUUUUUAGUAAAAACAUAC
rnacentral:sRNA from 1 species